GUUUGUUUUUUUUUGUCUGAGGCUGACCUCUAGAGGAAGGAAGUCUGGGUGCAGACGGGGAGACAGCUGAGGCUUAUUAAUCCACUUAAAACGCUUAAUGGAAACAAGCUGAAAGUGCACUACACAAUCAAAAAUGAGGGGGUGGUAAAUCACAAAUCACAUCUAAGAAAGAGAAACAAGUUAAGUGGAAUACUCAAUGAGGCUGUGAGCUCCAGAGGGGACGGAGGAACGUCUCUGACAGUCCUGGGGAUGGAGCCCAAAGGCGAGCCCAGCAACACAGCAGAAGGACCAGGCUGUUCAGUCACCGGCACGCACAACCAGACGGGAGGCUGGUGGAAGAUGAUCGUUUGAAGCUGCACCAUAUGGUAAUCAGGAAAAAGAAAAGUCACUCCAAAGUUUUUAUAUGCAAAGUUUAGGAAACUAAAGGCUGAACUUUGAGAAUGUUUUGAACUUAGUCUCUCAGACCUUGAAACUUUCCCCAAAAAUGAUGUCUGCAAAACUUUAUAUUGAACAUUAUUUAUCAGCUUUUUGAAAUACUUUUUUUUUUCAUUUAAUUUAUGUUCUAACACAAAUAUAUGAAUUCAGGUUAUUCCAAUGGGUGUCAAUGGGUAAAAUUUCUAUUUUAAAAUAGAAAAUGGGAGUUGACAUUUUUUAUUUUUAAGUUAAAUCUCAUUCAAAUGGUACCAACAAACAGGUAUGAAAAUGAACUGACAUGAACAAAGAUGGAUACACUAAAACAAAUAAACCAAAAUACCCCCAUAACCAAGUCACAUGGUAUGUUCUAAUCAAAAGAUAUAUUUUUUACUUUCUAAAGGAGAUAGCAAGUAAAAUAUAUGCAGAAAAAAACCUAAUUGUUGUUGUAAUAAAAACUGUGAAAUUGACUGAAAUAUAAAGAAAACGAACAAAAAAUUAGAUGAAGAAAUGUGCAUGAAAGGCAAUUAACUUUGAGUCAAAAUAUUUUAAAGAUCCUAAUAACAAUUAAAAUACAAAAGCAAAUAUUUCAAAAAGAGCAACAAUAAAUAAAAAAAA